GGACUGAGGAGCUCAGCCCUACAGCUAUGCUGAGGUUGGCCCCCACCAUCAGGCUGCUGCAAGCCCCGCUGGGGGGUUGGGUGGUCCCUAAGGCACACAUCACUGCCAAGCCAGCCAAAACACCCACUUCUCCAAAGUCCCAGGGACAGAGGCAGUCGGCCUGGGCUGAGGGGACCCAUAUGCAUCUUCUCGCCCCAGGAGCAGGCCAUCGGGCUCUCGGUGACGUUCCUCAGCUUCCUGCUUCCUGCCGGCUGGGUCCUGUACCACCUGGAUAACUACAAGAAGAGCUCAGCAGCAUGAAGGCUCUGCGGUCGCCACACCAGGCACAGACAGAAAGAAGGGAUUAAAGCCCUCUUUCCUCACA